rnacentral:lncRNA from 1 species
UGAAAGCCUGCCUUUACUAAAACACGAAAAAUUAGCCAGGCAUGGUGGUGCACGGCUGUGGUCCCAGCUACUUGGGAGGCUGAAGUGGGAGAAUCACUUGAACCCUGGGAGGCAGAGUUGAAGUGAGCCGAGAUCACGCUACUGCACUCCAUCCUGGGUGACAGCGAGACUCUGUCUCAAAAAAAAAAAAAAAAAAAGGAAAAAAAUACAAUUACAUGUUAUCAUUAUUCCAAUUUUAAUUACCAACCAGUGAAAACAAAAUGAGCUAGGAAAUUCACUGAUGAAAAUUAGACAGAAGCAGUAAACACUGGAGCUCAGCGUCUGGGGUAUUUUCUGGACAUGGAUUGUCGCUACUUUCUUGCUAAGCACCAACUGAGGCUAGAAUGUGUGCAGGUGCACAGCUAGGCAUCAGGGAGGUAGCCAUGCACCAGGUGGACUGGGUCAUCAUCUUCAUGGUGCUGGCCUUCUGGUAGGAGAACGGGAAUGGACAGACAAGUCAGGUACCUGGGUUUCAGAUUGUGCGCUGUGGGAAUUUAGAGCAAGCUAGGAGGACCUGGGGCAGCAAGAACAAAAUCCCCAAACCAAGUGUAUCUUUUGCUGUGUCAAAGAAGAGCAGAGGCCAGGACAGCAAGAGCAGAGAGUGGGGAGGAGAGCAUGGGACGUGAGACCUGGGAGGGCAAGGUGGGCCUGCGAAUUGCGUGUAAAUGAGAUGACAGCCAAGGAAGAUUUUGCACCAAGGAGGAAACGGCCCAAACCUCAUCAGCUUGAUAAGAGCUCACUCCAGCUGAUGUGUGGAGGGCCAGCUCCAGAAGGCAUGCAUGGACGCAGGACAGAGAGAACAUUUGGAUCUUGCUUUGAGAAACUCCAGUGUGGAUGAAGACAUCCCAUUAAAGAAUUUGAACUGGAAAGAACCAGCAUGUGAGACUUGAGUAUCAGGAAGAAAAUCGUCCUCCCACUACCACUUCCAGCAGCAACCAUGCCACAGUUCCCACAGCCCACUCGGAUGCUGCACAAUUAUCGUAUGCCAUCAGCUCAGGUCUAUUUCAAAUCAAGCCAUCAUGGGCUCCCCCAGUGGGAAAACUACUGUAGCUGUAUCUUCUCUGGCUCUGGGUGUUGCAAGCAGGCCUAAGCCAGUUUAGAAGAUAUAGGUGCUUUGUGGUAGCUAACUAUAGCUAUGGAACGCUUUAGAUGGGUGAGAGUCAACUCACCAAUUCCCUAACCUCAUAAUGUAAUUAUAUUGAAAAAACAUUAGACUCAAUUAGGCUACACCCGUGAAACCUAUUAAAUAUGCCUUAUUAACAAGCAGGUGUAAAAGUUCCUAUAACCUGUUCUGUAGGCUUAAUGAAGUCCCAGCCACUUCCUUGAAGUGAGAUGAGUCUGGACCUUGCAAACAGCAACACUUUUCAAAAGCACCGGGAACUAUUAACAAUGACACCAAGACACUAUGUGUAACCAGAAGGUCCUGGACAGAGUAGCAAACAUACUCGCUGUGCUGGUGAAUUGGAUGGGUCAACGGGGCUCAGCGGUUGCAUCAGGUACCAGCAUAGAUAUUGCUGUAAAGGUAUUUGUAGAUGCCAUUAGCAUUAAAUCAGAAGACUCUGAGUGUAGCCAAGUACCCUCCGUAGUGUGGGUGAGCCUCUUCCAAUCAGUGGAAAGCCUUAAGAGCAAAGAGUCAGGUUUUCCAGGAAGAAGCAAUUCUUUUAUAUAUAUGUAUAUUUUUAUUAUACUUUAAGUUCUAGGGUACAUGUGCAGCUACCUGUGUUUCCAGCUAGAACUUUCCCUCAGCAAAGCAGAGACAUCGACACUUGAGCUGUUAAUCAAGAAAGCUUAAUUUCCCUUAGUAUUUUCUUCCAAUAGAAUCAGUUGGUAUCGAGAAAGAAACUUCUCAUUUUCAGUUUGUGGGUGCUUGUUUCCAGGAAAGGUCUUUGUAAGAGAAUUGGACUUAACUGUCCAAAGUAUUCAGAAUUCAGAAAUAAAAAUUCCACACUUAAAAAGC